AUGGAACACAUACAUUCUACUGGCAAGAACCAAGAAACCAAAAACGAGCCUCUGACUGACGCGGGGCCAGUGGGGAGAGAGAUGGUCCUCAUCAGCUGACCUGGACUUGAACCGACUAGACCGCGAGUCCACAGUGACUCCACAAGCUCUCUUGAGAUGCUGUCUCCUCACCGCCUGGCCCAAAGGACCCAGCGGAUGCUGUGAGCAGAGCUGACACUGGAAGAUGUCCCAUUAUCUCAAGUGUCCUGCCACGUUCCCCUCAUUUGCCUGUGGGCCCGUUAUUUGAUAGACUCACUUACAGUCAAGUCAGGCUCUCAUUCCCACACCCCAAGACCUCCUUUCUGUGGGUCCAGAAGGAAGAGAGUGAAAGGAUCACGUUAUAGUCUGAAUGUUUGUGUCCCCGCCAGAUUCAUAUACUGAAAUCCUAUCCCCAGUGUGAUGGUGAGGACACAAGAAGACGGUCAUCGAUGAACCAGGACGAAGAUUCUCAACAGACACUGAAUCUGCUGGCUCCUUGACCUUGGAGUCCCAGGCUCCAGAACUGAGAGAAAUAAAUGUUUUUUGUCUAAGCCACCAAGCCUAUGGUAUCUUUGUUAUAGGGGCCCAAAGAGACUAAAAUAGGCCAGGAUGGGGCCAAAGCCUGACCCCAUAGAGGAUACAUGGGACAGGUGUGGCUUCAGAGUUGGGUGAGGUGAGUGACUAAAGAAUGGAACACAGUGAGGUGGUCAACUGGUUGACCCAGGACUGGUCCCAGAAAGAUCCCUAUGUCGCCAUUCCACAGAAGCUGAUGGGAAGUCUGGAAAAGCCUCUAACGGUGUGACCACCACCCCCUUUGCCUGUCCAAGUCAGUGAAAAGAGGGGGAAGGAGCAAGGGACGGUAGUUCUGGGAUCUAGUUCUUGGUAGCUGACACCCACAAGCUACCAAGUGGGUGUCACUUAGUAUGGCUGCAACUCCCUCCUCCUUCCAAGCUAACCCCAGAUAAGGGCCCUCUGGUGGACUAAUGGCCAAAAUUCUUAACUGUCCUCUCCUUCGUUGCAUGACGUUUAUUUC
ensembl:lncRNA